UUGAAAGGGAAACGAUUGAAGUCAGUCGUACCAGCGGGAAAUCAACCUUUCGAGUGGUGUUUUGGAGUUUUGAAGUGUGUCAAAACCUUUGAGAUUUUAAAAUUUUCGCUCUUUUAGUGUACUUUCUCGUGGGUAGGUUAACAUCGAUUUUGAUCAUCAUAAAAAGACUGGAGGAAUGUAGCUUCGAUCUUGUAUUGAAGUGUUAUAGCCUUUGGUAAAUGUGAUGAUUAGGAUCGAGGAUUGCAACGAAUACCCUUCUGGGCUAUCCGCCUGAUCUCUGAUACGUGGCCUUGGCAUCGAAAGCUUGCUUAUGGUAUCAAGGUAUUACGGUCAAAAGGUUAGAACGGAUUACAUUCGUUAAGGAUGUUGACGUA
rnacentral:rRNA from 1 species